AGAGUUUGAUCUUGGCUCAGAACGAACGCUGGCGGCGUGCUUAAUACAUGCAAGUCGAGCGAGAAAGUUCCGCAAGGAAUGAGUACAGCGGCGAACGGGUGAGUAACACGUAAGCAAUCUACCCCUAAAACCGGGACAACCCUGCCAACGCGGGGCUAAUACCGGAUGUGAUCCAGAUGACACAUGUUGUUUGGAUUAAAGGAGUGAUCCGUUUAGGGAUGAGCUUGCGGCCCAUUAGCUAGUUGGUGAGGUAACGGCCCACCAAGGCUACGAUGGGUAGCCGGCCUGAGAGGGUGUACGGCCACAUUGGAACUGAGAUACGGUCCAGACUCCUACGGGAGGCAGCAGUAGGGAAUUUUGGGCAAUGGGCGAAAGCCUGACCCAGCAACGCCGCGUGAAGGAUGAAGGCCUUCGGGUUGUAAGCUUCUGUUGGAUGGGAAAAAAAGGUAGCAAUACUCUGAUGGUACCAUUCGAGUAAGCACCGGCUAACUACGUGCCAGCAGCCGCGGUAAUACGUAGGGUGCAAGCGUUGUUCGGAAUCACUGGGCGUAAAGUGAGCGUAGGCGGAAACUUAAGUUAGGAGUUUUAAUUCUCGGGCUUAACCCGAGGCUGGCUUUUAAUACUGGGUUUCUUGAGUAUGGAAGAGGAUGAUGGAAUUCCAGGUGUAGCGGUGGAAUGCGUAGAUAUCUGGAAGAACACCAGCAGCGAAGGCGGUCAUCUGGUCCAAUACUGACGCUGAGGCUCGAAAGCUAGGGGAGCAAACAGGAUUAGAUACCCUGGUAGUCCUAGCCGUAAACGAUGGACACUAGUUGCUGGAGGAGUCAAUCUUUUCGGUGACGAAGCUAACGCAUUAAGUGUCCCGCCUGGGGAGUACGCUCGCAAGGGUGAAACUCAAAAGAAUUGACGGGGGCCCGCACAAGCGGUGGAGCAUGUGCUUUAAUUCGAUGCAACGCGAAGAACCUUACCUGGGCUUGACAUGGGAGUGAAAGAUUCCAGAGAUGGAAUCCCUUCCGCAAGGAACACUCUACACAGGUGCUGCAUGUUUGUCGUCAGCUCGUGUCGUGAGAUGUUGGGUUAAGUCCCGCAACGAGCGCAACCCUCGCCCUUAGUUGCUAACAGGUUAAGCUGAGAACUCUAAGGGGACCGCCUAGUAUAACUAGGAGGAAGGUGGGGAUGACGUCAAAUCCUCAUGGCCCUUACGUCCAGGGCUAGACACGUGCUACAAUGGUAGAUACAACGGGAUGCAAGCCAGCGAUGGCAAGCUAAUCCCUGAAAAUCUAUCUCAGUUCGGAUUGGAGUCUGCAAUUCGACUCCAUGAAGCUGGAAUCGCUAGUAAUCGCGGAUCAGCAUGCCGCGGUGAAUACGUUCCCGGGCCUUGUACACACCGCCCGUCAAGCCAUGAAAGAUGGCAGUACCCGAAGUCGUUUAUCUAACCGCAAGGGGGAAAACGCCUAAGGUAAGGCCAUUGAUUGGGGCUAAGUCGUAACAAGGUA
rnacentral:rRNA from 1 species